GAAAGCACGCAGAGUUCAAGAGAGAACAUGUUCGAGCCUUUGCGUGAGUUGCUCUUGGAGGACCCGCAGGCACUCAUAGAAGAUGAGCGUGUGCUUGGUGAGAAGGCCGGGCGGCUGUUUGGCUUUCGCGACUUCAGUGCCUACGCCACGCUCGGCGGCGCCGUUUAUCCACUGCUGCGGUGUGCCAACGAUGGUGUCGUGUCGUGGGGCGCAGUGCACGGCGUGAAUGGCUCCAGCAACGGCAGCGGGAGUACGCGGACCACCAACUCGGCCUCAUCUUUGCCCGCAGGCGGGGAUGCUGUCCUCACAUCGUCGUCGCUGCACGGCCAAGGCGAGGUGAAUACGAGGUGGUGGCCGUCGCUGGCGACUGCGACAGACGCGCGCCGGCGCUCUCGCCACGGACGUCGCUCAUGGCUUCAACAGCUGUGGGCAUCUGCGCCGCAUCUCAUUCCGCAUCUCGCCCACUGUCUCGUCAAGGCGGCGUCGUUUGCACUGCCGGGCCUUCGCAGCGUGUUCCCAACUGCUCUACCGGGUGCACGGCGGCUGCUACUGGCGCGGCGGUCUCGCUGUGGUGGGCCUGAGCGUGUAACGGGACUUAGCUUCCAUCCUUCGUACAUGUGGCUUGCGGUAGCGGUGGAAGAGGGCGGCGCCGACGCUUCAACGCGCGUCGUUGUUUACGACGUGGGCGAGGGAAGGGUGAUGUGUGUACUGACGCACGCCUUUCAGACGAAGGUGAGCUGGUUGCAGUGGAGGCCUCAGUCGCGCGAUGUCCUGGCGGUGGGGUGCUGCGGCGGUGUGCUGCUGUGGAGACUGUUUGCGGACUCCUCAGGAAGCGCCGCUGCUGCGCCCUGGUCCGCUCCCAAGGCAUUCGCGAACGCGGACGUCUCCGCACGCGCUUUGUUCUAUCGCGCCCGCAGCGGCUUCACCGUCACUGCCGGUGCCUUUGCGCAUCAAGACGCGAACACCCUCGCCUGCGCAAGCGUUGGCGACACGCGCCUCGUUUUUCUCCAGUUGAAUGAGCCGCCCUUUCAGCCGCAGGCGUGCGGCACCGUUGUCGUUCCCUCUGUCGACGGCGGCCUGGGCCAGGUGGUGUUCGAUGACGAUGACUUGUUCCUGCUCUGCACGGUGUGCGAGCACGGUUCCCUGGCGCUGGUGCGCAUUCGGCCCUCACCCACAUCUGCAUCCGCCGCUUCGUCGGUCGCGGCGUUCCAGUCGUGUGUCGUGCCUACACCAGCCCCGGUGGACUGCGUCGCUCGUGCCACGGGCCUCGGACCUUCCCUCUACUUUAUGAGCACCGCCAGGCUCGAGGGCGUCUUGCUCGCCCGCAUCAACCCCUUCAUCGGCGUCGAGGUCGUCUCGAUGAUCUCCACCGGAUUGUACCGCGGCGUGGGUGGCUGUGUCACCGGCUUGGAGUGCAGCCGCCGCCGUCUGUGGAUCCAAACAGAGACGAACCACUUGCUGGUGUGCCGGUGCGGGCUGCGGGACGGCGCCAUCUCGCUAAUCCCUAUCGGGGUCGCGGCGAUAGAGGUGGUUGCAAUGGCGUCCUUCGCAGGGUGCACGACGGGCUCUCUCCUCGCAGCGGUGGAGGUAGACGGCACCAUACACUUUCUUCCCUCGUAUCAUGGCUAGUAUCUCGAGGGGCACGCGCAGACUCGGACGCUCAUGCACGCUACCGUGUGGCGUCCGCGCCGAUGAGCCAGAGACAUGCAAGGAUGUGUGCGUACUGACAACGUUGGUGCCUGCGCGUGCGCCUGGGGUAUUGCAAGAGAUGCCGAGGCGACGAUCAGCAACGCAAGGAGAGCGCUAAGGAAACCAUAAGCACUGCCGCCACCACACCAUCAUCGCCACAGAACUUCAUAAAGUAGCGGCAGAGCAGAGGCGCACAUGCGGAACUCAUAGACGGACCCGCGUCAGCGUCAGGAGGACCGCAUGAAGACGCACGGGGAGGGGGCCCUUUACGGAGCGACGUAGGCGCAAAUUCAGACGGUGUAGGGUAGGCCGAGAUGUGGGUGAGCGAUUUGCUGCUCUCGGAGUUGCCCACGAAGAGUCGAGCAGAUCAGUGAAUCUGUGGGCUCAGAUCGCUUGAUGACUGCCCUCUGGAGCCUCCUCGAUCUCCUCUCCUCUGCGCUCUCUCGCUGAGGUGUUUUGGCGUGUACUGAUGUCUCGUGCGCGCCUCGCGCUCUUUGCUAUCCUCCCUUCUCUGCGCGUUCCUCUCUCUAUCCUCCCUUCUCUUGAACGCGCAUAG
rnacentral:misc_RNA from 1 species